UACGUAGGUCGCAAGCGUUGUCCGGAUUUACUGGGCGUAAAGAGCGCGCAGGCGGCUGGUCAAGUCCGAUGUGAAAUCUCCCGGCUCAACUGGGAAACUGCAUCGGAAACUGAUCGGCUUGAAGAUGGGAGAGGGUAGUGGAAUUCCCGGUGUAGUGGUGAAAUGCGUAGAUAUCGGGAGGAACACCAGCGGCGAAGGCGACUACCUGGCCCAUUCUUGACGCUGAGGCGCGAAAGCUAGGGGAGCGAACGGG
rnacentral:rRNA from 1 species